ACUCAAAUGAAUUGACGGGGGCCCGCACAAGCGGUGGAACAUGUGGUUUAAUUCGACGCAACGCGAAGAACCUUACCUACCCUUGACAUGCUCGGAACCUGCUUGAGAGAGCGGGGUGCCUUUGGGAGCCGAGACACAGGUGCUGCAUGGCUGUCGUCAGCUCGUGUCGUGAGAUGUUGGGUUAAGUCCCGUAACGAGCGCAACCCUUGUCCUUAAUUACCAACAGGUAGAGCUGGGGACUUUAAGGAGACUGCCGGCGACAAGCCGGAGGAAGGCGGGGAUGACGUCAAGUCCUCAUGGCCCUUACGGGUAGGGCUACACACGUGUUACAAUGGACGGUACAAAGGGAAGCGAAGCUGCGAAGCGGAGCGAAUCCUGAAAAAGCCGUUCGUAGUCCGGAUUGGAGUCUGCAACUCGACUCCAUGAAGUUGGAAUCGCUAGUAAUCGCGGAUCAGAACGCCGCGGUGAAUACGUUCCCGGGCCUUGUACACACCGCCCGU
rnacentral:rRNA from 1 species